rnacentral:rRNA from 1 species
UACGUAGGGCGCGAGCGUUGUCCGGAAUUAUUGGGCGUAAAGAGCGCGUAGGCGGUCCGUUAAGUGUAGAGUGAAAGCUCCGGGCUCAACCCGGAAAUUGCUCUGCAUACUGGCGGACUUGAGGAUGAAGAGGUUUGUGGAAUUCCUGGUGUAGCGGUGAAAUGCGUAGAGAUCGGGAGGAACAUCAGUGGCGAAGGCGGCCAUCUGGGACAACACUGACGCUGAGGCACGAAAGCGUGGGGAGCAAACAGG